AGAGCGAGUAGAAGCGGUCGGGCCACGGGGCCUGGGCAUUGCUCGACGG
rnacentral:ncRNA from 1 species